CCCUGACCCCUCUGCCAGACAUCCCAUGGCAGAACUCAGUGCCCCUCUGUGCUUGCUAAAUAUCUACUCUACACCUUUAUUAAAGAACGUACCACCCCCCACUGACACUAUGAUUUUCUUAUGUGUCCUGAGCUCCCCUUGCAGGCCUCCCACCUCCAAUACUGGAUGCAUUUUGGAGUAGCAAGACUGUAUUCGUGUCACCUGUUCCCCAGAUUCUAUCAUAGUAGGAUAAGAAGUUUCAACUUAAAUAUUACUUGCACCGUAUCACCCUCUUUUAUCACGACCUGAUAUUUUAUUUAUUGUUUCAUUUCCCACUAGAAGGCAAGCUAUUGAGAGAUGCCAACAAAUAAUUGUUGGAAAAAUAAGUGAAUGAAUGGAUGGAUGUGUGAAUGACAAAUAAGUGUCAUAUGCACAAGCUAAAAACAAGGCAGC
rnacentral:lncRNA from 1 species